UUAUCCCAUCCUUUCCCCUCCAAACCCCCACUCUUCUCAGACCCAAAAUAACUUCUGUUCUUUCUCUCCUCUCGCCACUCGACUUUAUAACCAAACCAUUCCUUUUCCGCUCUCUAACCAAAAUCCAAUCUUUGAACACAAACCAAUUCGUGGGUUUUCCGGGAAAGCAAUUGGGUUUUUGUUUGAAAGGAAGUUAAGGGUUUUGUGAAUGCAAAAGAGGAUGGCGUUGAUGAAGCUGAGGAGCAGAGUAGUUGGGAGAGAACUAUGCCGGAGCUGUUUAGGUACUUGUGACCUAAGAAGCUCCUGACCCUCCUCUGAGGUGGCCUUGUUUUCUGGGUAAAAUGCUUCACUGUCUUUGUCUAUCUUUGUCUAUUUUGAAGAAUUUGCAGGUCCGCUGAGCACAACAGCUUUAGCCCCAGCCGGGUUCAACUCAUCCGAUGCUUCGAUCUAUGUAACCAUGAAGCAAGGGGUUAUGAGGAACUAAGGAGGGCUGCAGGAAGCAGCAGGUCAUUAAAAGGGAAAUGUCUGGGCAGAAAUGGUACAUGGGGAACUGACAGAAAAGAAGAUGGGUAUUCCUAAGAAGAGUGGGGAGCUACGUUAUGAGAAGACUACUGUUUUUCAAACCAUUUGAAUAUUUGACGGAUUUGAGAGAUUUCUACUAUACUUCUGAUCCAUAAAUAAGGGCAUUAUUAGUAUACAAAUUAAUCAAGAAGACUAGUGUAUAUCACCGUCAACAUAUGUCGCCUAAUGAGAGAUAGAUAGGACCCUCUUUGAUUGUUGGUUAAUAGGCAACUUUAGGUGACACUGAUUGACAAUUUAAACAAGUAUUUCUCAUUUGCAGCUGAGGAGUUACAUACUAUUUUUCACAUUGAUGUAGAUGGUAUGUUACGUAUCUCAUGUCACAUUAGCCAUAUGUUCUUUGCUUGUAGCUUU
rnacentral:lncRNA from 1 species